GUUCACGUGCAUCAAUACACGCAGCUAGAUCGAGCACUAUGUGAUGUAGCGUUGGAUGCUGCAGUACCUCUGCCUCGGGCAGUGGUGGAUGGCAGCACGGUCGCUGAUGACGACCACGAAAUGAUCGGUGCAGGUGUAGUACAACGUCACAGAACACGUAGCGUACAACUAGCAAUCGCAGGAAGUCGUCGCCGAAAAAUUGGAGAAUACUGCUUUCUGGAAGACGACAAAAUAUCUUUGAAUACAAAAUUUAACUCAGAAUUGAAUACAAAUUCCAGGUAGACGGGCAGUCAGGGAUGAAGAGGACCAAAGACAGAAAUGAAGGAAGAUAGGAGAAAGAUACUGUGAUCUAAUAGAGAAGGAAAGGAAGAAAGAAUUAGAUAUGGAAAUAAUGUGUUAAAAGGAACUAUCUGAGUUGUUAGUUAAAAUUUCAAAGUUUAAAAUAUCUAUAUAAGCAUGUAAUAAAUAAUAUAAGGAGAGGUGGAGAAAGAAGGGCUGGUGAUGAUGUAAAACAAGGAAAGAACUCUUGUAACAUCAGGGAAAAUAAAUUGGAUUGAAUGAAA